AGUGAACGCUGGCGGUAGGCCUAACACAUGCAAGUCGAACGGCAGCACAGGAGAGCUUGCUCUCUGGGUGGCGAGUGGCGGACGGGUGAGGAAUACAUCGGAAUCUACUCUGUCGUGGGGGAUAACGUAGGGAAACUUACGCUAAUACCGCAUACGACCUACGGGUGAAAGCAGGGGACCUUCGGGCCUUGCGCGAUUGAAUGAGCCGAUGUCGGAUUAGCUAGUUGGCGGGGUAAAGGCCCACCAAGGCGACGAUCCGUAGCUGGUCUGGCAGGAUGAUCAGCCACACUGGAACUGAGACACGGUCCAGACUCCUACGGGAGGCAGCAGUGGGGAAUAUUGGACAAUGGGCGCAAGCAUGAUCCAGCCAUACCGCGUGGGUGAAGAAGGCCUUCGGGUUGUAAAGCCCUUUUGUUGGGAAAGAAAUCCAGCUGGCUAAUACCCGGUUGGGAUGACGGUACCCAAAGAAUAAGCACCGGCUAACUUCGUGCCAGCCGCCGCGGUAA
rnacentral:rRNA from 1 species